ACUCUUCUCUCUCCUGCUGCCAUGUGAGAAGGUCCAAGCUUACUUUCCCUUUGCCUUCCAACAUGAUGAGUUUUCCAGCUGGAUUUGAUGUCACUUUCCCAUGCUGUCACUAAUCCCCAGCCACAACAGAAUGGGUCACACUCUUCUGCACUUUGGACCCUUUGCCCAUGCCAGAGUUAUCCGCUGACCCUCUUCCCAUGGCUGUCACCUCUUCAAAAAGGUCCACUGAACCUGAAGUAGAUGUCCUCCCUCUAUUAAGAUUCAACGUAUCAAAUCCACCCUUUCAAAGUCUUAGACUAGCACCUGGCAUACAUCUCCUUGCUGACAAAAAAGGAAAUGACUUCUGAAGACAUGAAAAAAAAAAAACAGGGUGAAGACAAAUUGGGUUAGAAUAACCCAUGACCUAGAUCAUUAGACUUUGACUAAUGAAGAACUGCCUUUUAACAGAGUUAAAAUUGACAGCACCAUGGCCUCACACCCAACAGGGUUUGAGGCUGGACCCUUCUUUGACAAACGAUGCCCUGAUUUACGCGCAAAAAUACCCAUCACAGCAUUAUUUAUAAUAUUCCCUGUCCAAUGCUGGGGACCUAGUUCAAUUAGCUAUAGAACAGCCAUUUGAUGAAAUAUUAUAAAGCUAUUAAAAUAAUAGGGGCAAAGAAAUUUUAAAACAUGGGGAAAGCCUUGAUGUUGUAAUAUUAAAUGAAUGAAGGAAUUCUAUGAAUGAAACUCAUUAAAACAUGUCUUCACAGUAGCUGCAUUGAUUGCACAUUUACUAUCGUUCAGGCAUCUUUUCCAAAUGUGAUACAGGAGGGCAAGCUUGGAAACAAGACGGGAACCUCUUGAUCCAUGGCACAAUGCUGUCGACCCCUAAGUUCUUCCUCUUUAUCUAAACCCAGGUUUGGAAGUACACCAAAAUAUUAAUACUAUACAUCAUUGCAAGCUUUCCUUCUUUGAUCCUCUGUAUUUUGUAAAUGUUCCAACACCUUUUAAAAUACACUUUUGUUCUCCUUUAAAGUCUCCCUGAGAGCUUCUAGAAGGCAGCUGCUGUGGGCUCACAUCAUCCAUCCUUCCCCCCGCAAAUGUGUAAAUAAAGAAACACCUCUGUGCCUUUAAAUUAUAACAGGCUAAACUUUCCCCUGUAAGUUGAUACUCAGACCAGAAGUCUGUGGGUAGGAAGAGUGUUGUGUUUUUUUGUUGCAGCUUCUUUUGGCUGAUAAACUAGCACUUAAGUGUUUCCCUUUUCCAAACCCCCAAAUGACAAGUAUCUUUGUGGUAAAGUGAUGGCCCAACUGUCAUGGCCAUCAUAAACGGUGCUGAGGACACUUAUUUUUAGUUUACUGUCUAAGGAAGCACUAGGCUUGCUAACCAGAGACCUUGGGGCCCAAACCCCU
rnacentral:lncRNA from 1 species